AUUUAUAUAGUUUAAAAAAACAUUAUAUUUUCAAUAUAAAAUUAAAUAAUUUUUGUAAAUA
rnacentral:tRNA from 1 species